AUUCAGCUGACGAGUCCCAAAUAGGACGAAACGCGCGUCCUGGAU
rfam:Schistosoma mansoni strain Puerto Rico chromosome 1, complete genome